GACACUAUGGCCGAGUGGUCUAAGGCGAUUGACUAGAAAUCAAUUCUCUUCGGGGGCGUCGGUUCGAAUCCGACUGGUGUCG